GGAGACCACGGUGGCCGCCGUCCUCAGUUUCUUCCGCUUGCGCGGCUUGCAGGCCGCUGCCUCCUUCGACAUGAUCUGAAGACCCUCCGCUAGCGCCUCCUUCGACAUGCCCUGCAAUCUCCUCGGCUUCACCUCCAGCGAUGGCGAGCUGCUGCUGCUGCUGCUAGAGGAGUUGAGGGGCGCCACUGACAUGGAAGGCAGCAAGGCGAGGCUUAUCCGGUGGAGGGUGCUCACCAUGUCGCCGAGCUCGACUGCAGACCCGGCAGCAUCACAUCGGUACUGCAGAUUGUGAUGAAUCAUGUUGGUCAGGUGAUGGUCUUUACUAGUUGAGUUCUAGAAUACUGUUCCGACACGGACGGAGGCAAUGAAUUGCUAGAUGGUUUAUUACAACAGAUUUCUGGAUGGAUUUAUUUCUCCCUGGACAGUUUACAACUUGGUCUGGCUUGACAAAUAGCCCAGUAAUUCUUGAGUUUGCUUGUGCUUCCGUGGUGUCAUCGAUCCAGAAAAGGGCAUUGACUCUAGAUAAUGUGUCAUGUACAUAGAAAUAAGUUUAUCGUGUGAUGUACUUGCUGAAGUUGGGAGUUAUAUUAGAAACAAGGGCACUGGUGAUGUAUGUUGUUGUAACUGAUUGUAAACACAUUCGUUCUGUGUAUAAAUAAAGUUCUCCUUUUGAAUGA